UACGGAGGGGGCUAGCGUUGUUCGGAAUUACUGGGCGUAAAGCGUGCGCAGGCGGUUCGCUAAGACAGAUGUGAAAUCCCCGGGCUUAACCUGGGAACUGCAUUUGUGACUGGCGGGCUAGAGUAUGGCAGAGGGGGGUAGAAUUCCACGUGUAGCAGUGAAAUGCGUAGAGAUGUGGAGGAAUACCGAUGGCGAAGGCAGCCCCCUGGGCCAAUACUGACGCUCAUGCACGAAAGCGUGGGGAGCAAACAGG
rnacentral:rRNA from 1 species